rnacentral:rRNA from 1 species
CCUACGGGAGGCAGCAGUGGGGAAUAUUGGACAAUGGGCGAAAGCCUGAUCCAGCCAUGCCGCGUGUGUGAAGAAGGCCUUCGGGUUGUAAAGCACUUUCAGUGGGGAAGAAAGCCUUGGGACUAAUACCCUCGAGGAAGGACAUCACCCACAGAAGAAGCACCGGCUAACUCCGUGCCAGCAGCCGCGGUAAUACGGAGGGUGCGAGCGUUAAUCGGAAUUACUGGGCGUAAAGCGCGCGUAGGCGGUCUGAUAAGCCGGUUGUGAAAGCCCCGGGCUCAACCUGGGAACGGCAUCCGGAACUGUCAGGCUAGAGUGCAGGAGAGGAAGGUAGAAUUCCCGGUGUAGCGGUGAAAUGCGUAGAGAUCGGGAGGAAUACCAGUGGCGAAGGCGGCCUUCUGGACUGACACUGACGCUGAGGUGCGAAAGCGUGGGUAGCAAACAGGAUUAGAUACCCUGGUAGUC